GGGAAGAUAAUCCUUCUCCGAGAUGGAGAGGGGCUUUUUUGUCUUUUCAUCCUAAAAACCCUGCACUUCAUCAGUUUACGCGCGCGCCACAAACCCAAGAGAGGAAGCGAUUCUGCGAUUGGGGCCUCAAAUUUCGAGGCUGAGAGAUCAUUCAAAUAGUUGCAGAGGUGGUGGAGAUGGCAAACAGUAAAUACGAGUAUGUCAAGUCGUAUGAAGUUGAAGACGAGGUUUUCCUGCCCAAUUUGAUCGUUGUUCGGAUUGAUGGUCGUGAUUUUCAAAGGUUUUCUGAAGUUCAUGAAUUUGAGAAACCAAAUGAUGAGGUAGCUCUGAAUUUGAUGAAUUCAUGCGCAAUUUCUGUGUCAGAGGCAUUUCCAGACGUAGUGUUUUCAUAUGGCUUCUGUGAUGAAUACAGCUUUGUCUUCAAGAGGACGUCCAAAUUCUACCAAAGGCGUGCCAGCAAAGUAGGGACCAUUAUCGUAUCUUUCUUCACCUCUGCAUAUGUCACAAAAUGGAGAGAAUUCUUCCCUCAUAAGGAGUUAAUGUACCCCCCUUCAUUUCAUGCACGUGUUAUACGCUGUGCAUCAGAAGAAGUCCUUCAGUCAUAUCUUUUGUGGAGACAAAACAAUUGUCAUACAAAUAACCUGCAUAACACUUGCCUAUGGGAGCUAAUUAAAUCUGGAAUGACCGAAAGCGAAGCACUGGACUUACUAAAGGACAGCAGCAAGGAAGAAAAAAAUGACCUUCUUUACAGAAAGUGUGAUAUCAACUAUCAAAAAUUGCAUUCAAUGUUUCGACAAGGAUCCUGCAUUUUGAAAGUAGAGGUGUUUGAAGUUGUGAAGCACAAUGAAAAUGGUUCUCCUGUCAAGAGACUUAGGAGAAAGUCAAGCAUAGUCCAUUCGAAGAAUAUAGCUGAGAGAAGGUUUUGGAACAAGCACACACAUCUUCAGAAGGAACUUGGUUGUUUUACAAAGGAUAUUGGAAAAGUUGAACCUGAUUAUAUUAGGUCCUUCCAGCAUGAAGACAAACUGAUCCCAUCAACAUGGGUUGUAAUUAGGAUCGAUGGUUGCCAUUUUCACAGGUUUUCUGAAGUUCAUGAAUUUGUGAAGCCGAAUGAUGAGCAAGCUAUCAACCUUAUGAAUUCAUGUGCAGUGGCUGUUCUAAAAGAGUUCCAGGACUUGGUUUUCUCAUAUGGAGUCAGUGACGAAUACAGCUUUGUUUUGAAGAAGGAUUCUCAAUUCUAUCAGCGGCAAGCAAGUGAGAUGGUAUCUGUUAUUGUGUCAUUCUUCACUUCCAUGUACGUGAUGAAAUGGAAAGAUUUCUUCCCACAAAAAGAGUUGAAGUACCCUCCGUAUUUUGAUGGGCGUGCUGUCUGCUAUCCUUCAUAUGAAAUUCUUCGAGAUUAUCUAUCCUGGAGACAAGUCGAUUGCCACAUUAACAACCAAUACAAUACUUGUUUCUGGGAGCUUGUUAAGUCUGGAAAAAGAAAAAGUGAAGCUCAGCUCGUCCUGAAGGGUACUCAAACAGGAGACAAAGAGAAAUUGCUUAACCAAUUUGGUAUCGAGUACAACAAAUUACCAGUCAUGUUCCGCCAUGGAUCUUGUGCCUUCUGGGACAAGGAAGACACCACAAGGAUACACGAGAACGAAGAAUGUAAUGGGAAUUCUGGGAAAAGAGUUAUUGUAGAACAUUGUAAUAUUAUUGAGCCAACCUUUUGGGAUGCACACCCAACAAUUCUUUCUGGGUGACUGAUAAUGCUGCGAAGCAAUGGCGUUCCUUAUUUUUUUAGCCAUUGAAGUUGAGAAGUGGAAAUGAAAGCAGCUGAUCAGAGAGGAGGAUCAGGAGAUACUCCACUGCAUGAAUUUAGGAAUCAGAUUUAAAAGCGCGUAUAUUGGAUCAGGUGUAUGGAAGAACCAACAACGGACUGUUUCCUUCCUCUAAAACCGUACAAGGUGGAAGCUGCGAGAGCGCAGCUUUCAGAGCUGUGCGCGGAGCUUCUCCUCUUCUUAUCAAAGAUAAAGCAACUAUUUGUGCGAGGCUGCGAUCCUCCUGAUGAAGCUGAUGAUGUCUCCACAAAUUCUGUUUAUUUUUUUUUGACAUAUUGAGGUGCUGACAUACAUAAAUGAAACAAAAAAUUUAAGUGAUAAAUUUAACUUGUCUACUAAGAAACAAGAUUUUAUUGGUUUUGGA